UGGGGAAUAUUGGACAAUGGGGGGAACCCUGAUCCAGCCAUGCCGCGUGUGUGAAGAAGGCCUUAUGGUUGUAAAGCACUUUAAGCGAGGAGGAGGGUACUGGUAUUAAUACUACCAGGUACUGGGCGUUACUCGCAGAAUAAGCACCGGCUAACUCUGUGCCAGCAGCCGCGGUAAUACAGAGGGUGCGAGCGUUAAUCGGAUUUACUGGGCGUAAAGCGUGCGUAGGCGGCUAAUUGAGUCGGAUGUGAAAUCCCCGAGCUUAACUUGGGAAUUGCAUUCGAUACUGGUUAGCUAGAGUGUGGGAGAGGAUGGUAGAAUUCCAGGUGUAGCGGUGAAAUGCGUAGAGAUCUGGAGGAAUACCGAUGGCGAAGGCAGCCAUCUGGCCUAACACUGACGCUGAGGUACGAAAGCAUGGGGAGCAAACAGG
rnacentral:rRNA from 1 species